rnacentral:rRNA from 1 species
UUUAAAUGUAAAAUAUAUAUCAAAGUAGUAUUAGUUAUGGUCUUGAAAUUUAAAAAAUUUGGCGGUAUUUUAGUCUAUUCAGAGGAACCUGUUCUGUAAUUGAUAGUCCACGAUAAAUUAAACUUAAUUUAAUUAGCUUGUAUAUCGUCGUUAUUAAAGAUUUUAUAAGAAUUUGAAUUUUUAAGAUUUAUAAUAUUAAAAAAUUUCAGAUCAAGGUGCAGUUUAUAGUUAAGUAGAAAUGGGUUACAAUAGAUUUAUAUAUAUGGAAAGAAUUAUGAAAAUAUUUUUGAAGGUGGAUUUGAAAGUAAUAAAAUUUAAAUUAAUUUUAUGAUUUAGCUCUAAAAUGUGU